rnacentral:piRNA from 1 species
UAGACCAUAUCAGCAGGUAUUAAAGCAAAAGA